ensembl:lncRNA
GAACAUCUCUUGCAGGAGAUCCCUGCCUACCUGAGGCCUUCCAAAGGUACUUUCUCUGAUUCCAGAAAACUAAGUGAAGGCACAGGAGUGUUUUCUUGCAAGGAGCAAAAAGGCUGUGUACUCAAAUCAAACUUUCUCAAGCACAUCUGACAUCCCUUUGGAUUCCCACAGAAGCCUCCAAUAGGAUUAGUACAUGUGAGGAGCUGCCUGUUGACUUCAGGGCCCCUCUUUUGACCAGUGGAUUUUGCUUUCUGCCAAAACUCAGGCAAGAAAAUUGGCUUGCUGCCUUAAAUCUGCCUUAUUUUCUCAUCUUUUCUUUUGGCAACUCUGUGCUUUUUUUGCAGCACUACCCACUGAAAAGCUUGAUCAGCUUUGCUACAAUUAGUCUCGUUUGUGGGUCAGUCUGUGCAGUUCAGGCACAUGCAGCUGUAUACAGUGAGGUUUUGAAAUAUGAACUCUUCAGACAUCUGACUUUCCUUGCAAUGAAUGUUUGGUUGUGGCAUGUGCUCUGUUUGCUGAUUGAAAUUAUUUUCUCUGUAAUAGAAGCUCUCAGUAUCUCUUCUAAUGUAAGGAGGAAUAAUUAAGUCCUCCUGGUAACGCAAAUAAAUAAUGUCAUUGGAGGAUCUUGAGUGCAUCAUAAAUCAUCAGAGCUUUGUUCCUGAGAUGCCACAUCCUUGUGUCCUGAUGCUGAAUGAUUACAAUGGGGUUUUAUCACACGUAAUGCACUGAUCACCUGCUGGCCCUUAAUGCCAUCUGUAAUGUCACUGCCUGAAGAGUUCAGUGUUGCUGUGGUGUCACUGAUUCCUGGCUGCAACCUGUGAG